rnacentral:rRNA from 1 species
UGGGGGAUAUUGCACGAUGGGCGAAAGCCUGAUGCAGCGACGCCGCGUGGGGGAUGAAGGCCUUCGGGUUGUAAACUUCUUUUGCUCUGAACAAGGCAUGCUAAUGGGUGUGUUGAGUGUAGGGGUUGAUUAGCGCCGGCUAACUACGUGCCAGCAGCCGCGGUAAUACGUAUGGCGCGAGCGUUGUCCGGAAUUAUUGGGCGUAAAGGGCUUGUAGGUGGCUGGUUGCGUCUGUCGUGAAAGCUCAUGGCUUAACUGUGGGUUUGCGGUGGGUACGGGCUGGCUUGAGUGCAGUAGGGGAGGCUGGAAUUCCUGGUGUAGCGGUGGAAUGCGCAGAUAUCAGGAGGAAUACCGGUGGCGAAGGCGGGUCUCUGGGCUGUUACCGACACUGAGGAGCGAAAGCAUGGGGAGCGAACAGG